UGUUGGUAUGUGGUAGUAAGCGACUACAUUGAUCAUACCUAUGCAAUCAUCUUGUGUAAAAGGACUACAUAGUUUACAACAUUAACAAAAUUGCUUACCAAAAUUACAGCUCAAUGAAUGUUUACGAAUUUUUGGUUUGUCUGCUUGCUACAAUAGUAAAAGCCUCAGAACCGACAGUAACCAGCGAUGCGCGAAUUAUUACUGGUCAGCUUAAAGAUGAUGUUAAGUUUGAAUGGCAUUAUGCAUAUGAGCAUCCGGCAGUUGCCAUUGCAUUUACCCGAUAUUUAAGCACACCUGAGCAGGUGAAGUUGCCCCGUCUGAAGAACCCCCAAUUAACGAAGAUGGUUCGUUAGGUGAUGUUGACGAUGAAGAGACUAAGACCAUUGGUGUGGUGGCUAUUAUUUUAGGAGUGUUGUUUUUCAUCUCAUUCGCACUGUUCUUUCUUUUAUUAAUCAGAACUCUCUGGAAUAAAUGACACCAUGAUAAACCGUAUGAAAAUGUACUAAAUAAUGGAAAUAAAGCACGGGAUGAGGAAUUCGUACUGCAGGCUGCAAAAACAAGCCUUAUAGAAAACAAAGCACGGGAUGAGGAAUACCUUGUGCAGGCUGCAAAAACAAGAAACAGAGAAAACGAAGAUGCUGUUAGAAGACGGGAUGUGUGAUCAAUCCGAUGUUCUAUUGUAGAUCCAUACUCCAUAAAUAUCACAGUGAAUAACAUAUUAGUGUUUAUUUAACAUUAAAUAACAUAUUAUUGCUUAGUAAGAUUCUACACGCCAUGAAUUACAAAUUGGUUUUUAUUGUUUGUUUUAUAUUAAAUCUUACAAUCUGUAUGUACCAUUAUUUGUAGAACGUUUGUUUUUUUUAUGAAUAUUUUAAGCUACAUAUAUUCUUCUUCAAUUCUUGACUCACUUAUAUCUUACUACAAUUCCUUUAAUUAAAAGUACUACAUAUAGUACAUUUGUACAUAGCAGUACUACAUUCGUAUUUAGAUUCGCGUCAUAUAAAACGUUAGUCUUUUAUAUGUCUAUUUAAUUAAGAGUAAGUAAGAUAAAGGAUGACAGGCCAUAUAAUUAUUUGAUCGUGAUGUCCGUUUGUAUUUAAUUGUCAUUUAAUUCAAAUAUAUUUUGUGUAAAUAGAGUAAACUAAUUCAAUGACACCUUUGUAUUUAUUUAUAUUUUAAAUGAAUGGUACGGAGCAUCGUUUUACUGGCUGUCUAAAGGCAAGUAUUGGGCCGUGUCAGUUUAUCACAAAUAUAAUUUAGAUGGUUAAACAAGUAAUCGAAUUCUGGCCAAGAAAAUAUAUCUUAUAAUAUUAUGUGAGUAGAUGUCAACUUGACACAAGUUUUCUUAACAAAAUCCUGUAAUAAUUUUAUAACCUGAUAUUGAACAAUCUGAUAUGAAUAGUUUUGUAACUGAUAAAGAAAAGACAUUGUAUGAUGAUUAAUAAAAAGUUUUGAACCUAAAGGCCCAACGGACAAAAGAAGAUCUCGUGAUAUUUGUUCAGUUUUGUCAUGUUACUUCAAAUGUAAUUGAUAUAAAGCCCUAUAAAAUAUGCCAAAUCAAUUGUUCCUCGACUCAUUGCUAAAUCGAAAUCUACAUACUCCUGUGGUAAAAUAUAGUACAGUUAAAAUAGCCUAAAAACUUUACGGAGUCGCUAAUCUUAAAUCGUAUCGUAAAUAAUGUCCCCAUUAUACAGAUAGCACUUUCAUUUAAGAUAUAGAACGUUUGUUUUGUUUAAUCUGAACUCAUUCAGAUCCCAA